CCUUUCCAUCGGUAUUUGGACGCAGCCCCGGAGGAGACAGGUGAGGUCUCGACCCUCGUGGGGCUGGAGACUUCGAGCGUGGCACACAAACGUUAACGAUGCCGCAGGUUAAAAACUUACACAUACACUUAACCAUCCAUCUCAGCAAUUCCGCUCUCAGAUACCAACCCACGAAAAAAUCGCACGCCUGCAAAGUCUUACACUUGGAUGUUCGUAUCUGCAUUAUUCACAAUCGGCAAAAACUGGGAACGACCCAAAUCACCAUCCACAGGUCACCUGAUAUACCGCAGCCCUUCCAUAUGAUGGAAUGCCAUCCAUCAAAAAAAAGGAACUCGCCAUCAAUCUAUGCGACAAUGUGAACGGAUCUCAAAAACACAAUGCUGAGCAAAACAAGCUAGACAUAAAGGAGUUCACACUGGAUGAUGCCACUAACUGAAACUCUAGAAAUGACCAAGCGCAUCCACAGUGACAGCAAAUCGGCGGUCGCCCGGGGCCUGACUGUAUAGAUGGAGGGUGUUCUCCUUAUGGGUGCCUGUGUUCCUUUCUCUCUUCUUAUAAGGACACCAGUCGUUGGAUUAAGUCCCACCCCACCCCAGUAUGACCUCGCCUUAACUCGAUUACAUCUGCAAAGACCCUACUUCCAAAGAAGAUCACAUUCACAGGUAUCUGGGUUAGUUAGCACUUGAACAUAUCUUUUCUAGGGACAUGCAAUUCAACUUAGCACAGAGACCUUACGUUCCUCUAACAACAAAUAACGCAGGUCACAAGGAAGCUCCGAAGGGCCGGCUGGCUGGGGAAGAGAGUGGCACUGGGACCCCGGAUUAGGAACAAUGGAGAAGCUGGGGUCACACCUUGAAUAUGCCACUGACUUGCUGUUCAAUGGCUCUCAAUCCCUUCCCUCUCUCUGGAACUUGAUUUCACCAUUUUGUAGCAACUUUCUUUAAGUGUAUUUCUUUAUUUUGAGAGAGAAAGCGUGCCCGUGCACAUGCGAGUGGGGGAAGGACAGAGAGAGAGAGAGAGAGAGGAAGAGAGAGAAUCCCAAGCAGGCUCACGUGACAGCACAGAGCUGGACGCGGAGCUCAGUCUCACAAACCGUUAGAUCAGAACCUGGGCAGAAAUCCGGGGUCAGAUGCUUGGCCACUGAGCCAGCCAGGUGCCCCCGAUUUCACCGUUGUUUCUAAUGGAUCUGUGGAUCCCUGGUUGACUUGCCGGACUCUUGGGAAGCAAUGGAUAUGGUUAGCAUUUACCGAGCACCUACAGCAUACCAUGCCAAGCACCGUAAGCAUCUCAUCUCGUUGAAACCUCAAAUGACUGUAGGGGCGAACGACGUCAUACAGAUGAUGAUAAUGAGGUCCAGAGAGCUCAGUAACUGGAGUCCCCCACAUCCAGCCAACCCCCGAAUACUUAACAGUCUGCCUGCUCUGCUUCACUUUCUACUAUAAGCUGUCAUUCCUUACUUGGAUUCAGAAAUGGCCUGCAGUCUUACCCUCACCCCAAAUUUAGCUCUGAGGCAGAAAGACAUUGUUGUUGCCGAAACUCCCUCGCAAAACAUUCUUCAAUGGCUCCCUAUUACCCUCAGGAAAAAGCCCAAAUUCCCCCCAACAAGGCCAAGCAGGCCCCACCUGAUCUGAGCCCAGCCAAAUUCCAACCCCAUCUCUCCCUGCUCCCUUCCCGGGAGAAUACCUGCUCAUCCGGCAGAAUCUGGCUUAAAUGCCACUUCCUCCAGGAAGUUUCUUUGCCUGCCCCUUAGGCGUGAGUCAGGUCACCCAUUCAGUACUCUGGAAAACACUCUAUGUCAUCAUUGUUUUUGUUGCCUGUUAACUUGUCUCCUACACCGUGGCUCCUACUUGUAAAUAUCAAAUGCCACCUUUUGCCAGAUGUGCCACCCCAAAUGUCCUACAUGUCAAAUGCCACACACAACCACCGGUACAAGGAGGAAAGCUGGAGUGGGAAGCCACGGCUGGCUGACCCCAGGGUCUGUGUUCUCUGUACUGGCCCACACGGAUACCGGUGAAGACACAAGAGCCUAGUGGGAAAAAGCAGUCUGGGCCCAAGCAUACAGGGAUCUGGUUGACAAACAUGCCUCCCCUUUCCCUUCCCACAUCCAUGGCAGACAUGACUAAUGGAUCACAGCACUCCUUCUCCCGGAUCUCAGGUUCAGGAGGGCCCCAGCCAGUUGAUCCAAAGCAGCAUCUGACACGAAGUCUAUAUAUAUGCCCAUGUGAUCUGUUGUCCAAACCCCCCAUUUGGCAGGCAAGGAAAAUAGGGGGGCAGACAGCACUGGCUGUCCCCAUACCUAGGCAAGUCCGUGGGGAGGCAGGGACAGGAUCUCUCCUCUCCCACCUCGGGGCUGUCCUCCUACCCCCACGGGCGUCUGGAGAUCGGCCCUCAUGCUGUGUCAUCAACCCAUCCUCUGGAUGUGUUGAGAAAAAAGCAUUCCUGUGAAAUAGGGGCCAGGUGUCGCACGCAAGGUUCUGAGGACAAGAACAGUCGGGGAUGGCCCAGGAGACUGCCUUUGCUUUCCUUUGCUUUUCUUAAGGUGCCCAGAGGUAACUCCCGGCCUCUGCCUCCUUCCUGCGUGUCUAACCAGCCACCUGCUCGCCACGAGCUCAUCGCCCACCCCAGCGACCCAGCACGUGGGCACAUGGCUGCAAGCCCUGGAGACGAGCAGAAUUUCCAGACCCGAGAAAUGAAAAGACUUUCCAGGACACGCAAUGCACAACGGCCCAUUAAAAAAAUAAAUAAAGAUAUCUUUCAU